AGAAGUUCAUCUGUGCAUCAUUGACUGUGAGGGGCUGCAAUGCAGAACGGAUGGAAAUGCAGGAAAAUAUACCGGGAUCUGUAGGGGGCAGAGAGAAAGACAGAGACGAAGAGAGCACAUUAUCACACAUAGUCAAAAGAUCUCCAAAUGCUUCGGGUCCCAUAUUAGGUACUGAUUCUCCAGCAGAAAGCAAGUUAAUGAGAAAUAUAUCGACACACUGGUGUUACUGUGGACCUGUAGCAAGAACGGAGUUACAUCUGCUUACGGCUGUUACACUGUGAGCUAGAAGCCUGGAUAUGAG
rnacentral:lncRNA from 1 species